rnacentral:rRNA from 1 species
AGUAGCGUGAAGGNNGACUGCCCUAUGGGUUGUAAACUUCUUUUAUAAAGGAAUAAAGUCGGGUAUGCAUACCCGUUUGCAUGUACUUUAUGAAUAAGGAUCGGCUAACUCCGUGCCAGCAGCCGCGGUAAUACGGAGGAUCCGAGCGUUAUCCGGAUUUAUUGGGUUUAAAGGGAGCGUAGAUGGAUGUUUAAGUCAGUUGUGAAAGUUUGCGGCUCAACCGUAAAAUUGCAGUUGAUACUGGAUGUCUUGAGUGCAGUUGAGGCAGGCGGAAUUCGUGGUGUAGCGGUGAAAUGCUUAGAUAUCACGAAGAACUCCGAUUGCGAAGGCAGCCUGCUAAGCUGCAACUGACAUUGAGGCUCGAAAGUGUGGGUAUCAAACAGGAUUAGAUACCCUGGUAGUCCACACGGUAAACGAUGAAUACUCGCUGUUUGCGAUAUACGGCAAGCGGCCAAGCGAAAGCGUUAAGUAUUCCACCUGGGGAGUACGCCGGCAACGGUGAAACUCAAAGGAAUUGACGGGGGCCCGCACAAGCGGAGGAACAUGUGGUUUAAUUCGAUGAUACGCGAGGAACCUUACCCGGGCUUAAAUUGCACUCGAAUGAUCCGGAAACGGUUCAGCUAGCAAUAGCGAGUGUGAAGGUGCUGCAUGGUUGUCGUCAGCUCGUGCCGUGAGGUGUCGGCUUAAGUGCCAUAACGAGCGCAACCCUUGUUGUCAGUUACUAACAGGUGAUGCUGAGGACUCUGACAAGACUGCCAUCGUAAGAUGUGAGGAAGGUGGGGAUGACGUCAAAUCAGCACGGCCCUUACGUCCGGGGCUACACACGUGUUACAAUGGGGGGUACAGAGGGCCGCUACCACGCGAGUGGAUGCCAAUCCCUAAAACCCCUCUCAGUUCGGACUGGAGUCUGCAACCCGACUCCACGAAGCUGGAUUCGCUAGUAAUCGCGCAUCAGCCACGGCGCGGUGAAUACGUUCCCGGGCCUUGUACACACCGCCCGUCAAGCCAUGGGAGCCGGGGGUACCUGAAGUGCGUAACCGCGAGGAUCGCCCUAGGGUAAAACUGGUGACUGGGGCUAAGUCUAACCAAGGUAA